rnacentral:lncRNA from 1 species
UCUUUAUCGUUUAUUCAAUAUGGUAGGCGCCUAGACCAUCCACACACACAGACACACUUUGCAACUACCACGAAGUAACACAACAUAAAAAGAAUAUGGCACAUGGUAAAUAUCUGGAAAAUGAAUAAUUUUAGUAACAUUUCAUUCACUCAAGAAAAAUAAAAGGAUGAACACUUAGGAUUACAUUACAUUUUGUAGAAGUGCAUAAUGAAUAUCUUGGAUAUUGCUUCUGAUUACACCAACUGAAGGUCCACGUACUUUGGACCUUGAGAACACUGCAUUGGAUGGUCAAUAGCGGUACCAACAAGCAAAUCAAUGAACUGGGGCCAAAACCUGUGAGCCAUGUAACGGACAAUUCGACAGAAUCAUGUGCAAGUACCAAGCAAACGACGCAUAAUGAAUAGGUAUAUGAACACCAAAAAAUAUCAGCACGAAUAAGAAAUAGUUAUAUGAAGUAUGAACUCCCAUUUCGUACCGCAAUCCAUCUAAUCCUAAUUCUAUUGAGUUGGUUCCAUAAAACCAUAUUGUUCUUCGAAACCCACCACUAUAUGCUACUAAAAACAAUAAGAAAAUUCUAGUAACACAUGCAUCAUAUAUUUUAUAUAUUCACAUGUAUAAACUAACAGGCAAUAUACGGUUCACAUGUGGUUUUGUGGCUAUUGUCCAAAAAACAAGCUUUUAAUGCGUCCUGACUUAGCAGAGAGAUUGAGGAUGGAAGUUGCUUGAUGUGUGCUGAGAAACAGACAAUGUACAAGGGUGGACACACUUUGUUCGUUAUUUCAGCUUGCAAUAACUUUUAAGUCAGAAACAUAUAUAAUAUGCUAAACGUCCAUUAUACUAAUUCGGAAGUACAUUCAGGCACUUUCACAACUAUCUAUGACUCGUAGUACACUUGUAAUUGUGUAAGCGAAAACACUCUAUUGUUCAGACUGUUUUAGACCUCGUUUGGUUUGAGGGACUAAAGAUUAGUCCCUCUAUUUUAGUCCUCAUUUAGUCCCUAAAUUGCCAAAGUGUGGGACUAAAACUGGGACUAAACUGUUUUAGUCUCUAGUCCCUCAAGGGGUGACUAAAAGAGACUAAACCAUAUAAAUUCCACUUUUGCCCCUCCUUUAUUUCAGCUGCACUUAUGGUGGGAGAAUGCUAAGGGGUAUUUUAAUCCCCUUAUAAUUCAUUUAAUGUGUUUUGAAUAGUUUUAGUCCCUAGAACCAAACAUGAUAGGACUAAACUUUAGUCUCCUAACUAAACUUUAGUCCCUAGACUAAAGGAACCAAACGGGACCUUAGAGUACAGUGAUGACUCUGGAUGUAACAAUUCGAUAAAAAGAGUGAUAAAAACGAUCACACAAAUUACAGCCCUUACCUCGGCAUUCUUUUAUCACUCCACCUCUGAAGGGCACGUGCAGUGGCUUUCAACUUAAGAGUCAGGAAGGGGCAGGAGCUACCACCACCCGAUGCCCACGCUUCCUAGACUACUUCCUGGAAUCCCUCCAAUUUUGGCCAAAAAGACUAAAAAUGAAACCUUUUUUACCAUAGCAGUUGCUUUUGGAAGAAUGGAAUCUUGUCAUCAAUGUCCCGAAGCCCAUAGACACCGGAUAACCACUAAGGUUGGCCAUUUGACUGCUGGAAUUGGACAGAAUAAGAGCCCACUCUGUUAUGCCCUGUUGCUUGCACAUGCCUUUUCCAGGCUAAAAGAAUACCACCGCUAGCCCCAAAGGAAGGUAAAAAGAGGAAUUCUUCAAAAGUCACUCCAAGAAUAGCAAAGAUAGUUCCUCUAGAAAUAUUUUGUAUGUUGGUUUCUUGCAGGCAUACAAUGUCUGCUCCAACGGAAUCAACGAAAGUUCGUACAGAUUGUUGCUUGGAUGGAGAAUUCAAACCCCGGACAUUCCAUAUAAAUAUUUUCUUUGGAUGGUUACAAAAUUUACCCAUCAGAUUUAGAAUCCAAAGAUAUUCUUAUCGGACAACUGCAGAAUGAGUUACUGGGUAGUUAUAGGUCCCUUGAGCUACAAACAGUGGAGAGUUGGGAAGCUUUGAUAUUUCUUACUGUUGUACUGGGAAAAUUUCAUGAGUCCUGCUCAUUUGUUGAUACUGCUAAACUGAAUAUGCAGCAUCAUUGUCAAGAAAUUGAAAAUAAAUUGGUUCUGCCAAGAGACAUUUAGAAGAACAAUCUUGCAUUAUUAUCCAGUCUCUAGCUGAACAGAAACAGUCAAGAAAUUUGAAGAAUUUUAUGGAACAGCUCAAAGCUCGCACUGCUUCUGAAAUUUCAGAAAAAGGUAAACAGAUGUCCAUUAUGCAGGAUAGAGUUUAUUAUCUGAAUGUGUUUGUGUCUGAUGGCACACAGGAAUACCCCCUCCAUUCUUUCUGGAAAAAAACAUGUGGCGCCAUUGUGUAACUGUGGUUUUGAGGAUAUAUGUAGCUUCAUACCCAGUGUUGUUAUUACCUAGGUAUCUCCUAGCAAGCACUUCUGUUCCAAAAAGGGUCUGGUAGUGACAGUGUUGUUAUUACCCAGUUCUACACAAAAUUAGAGGAGAAACAUAAAGCUUUGGAAGCAGAGAAGGACGAGGCUGAGGCCAGGAAAAAGGUAAGAAGAACUUGCUUCUGAAUUCUGACAUCUAUCUUAGAAGCAACCAACUGUAGGUCAGGUCACUUGAGUUUUCUAUAUUCUUCUUUUGAUUGGUUUUGUAAAUUUUGCUUUGAAAAUAAUAGCAAUAAGAGCAGUAUUCAAAUUGAGUUGUUUCUGGGACCACUCAACUACUAAGGGCAAAAUUGAGUUCAUGAAUGAAGAAAUUGAGUUCAUGAAUGAAGAAAUUUGUCUACCGCUUCUCCAGAUAGGGAUUUCUUUACUGUUAGUUGGCCAAACCCAUUAUAGCCAAUCAAUAUAUGCUACCAUUCUACACAUGUAUAUGUCACUUAGAGAAUAAAUGAUAUGCCUUGGCUUCUGAACUUGUCCUUAUUGUUUGACGAAACGUGAGACAGGAGCUAGCUGCUCUUAUUUUUUUCCUUGAACAUUUAGAAAAAUUACUAUUCCUAUAAAUAUUUAAUUACAUAACUUUUAAUGAUCAAAAGCUAAGCACGAGUAGGCGGUGAUCAUGCAUGAGCCUCUCCUUAACUCCUAGUGAAGUACAUAUGUGCUAAUAACUAUAUAUAUAUAUGCAUGAUUAAGUUGAGUUUUAGUUGGUUUUUCUUUCUUUGCAUUGGACUAUUAUGUUUCCGAUGAUAAGUUUUUAAUACAGUUUCCUACGAUAUUCUCCAUACUUUUUCUUUUUAUUGUAUACUUGGAAUCACAUGAGCUAAUCUUAUUUCCACUACAAAUGUAGUGCGUACAUCCCACUCUAGAAAUAAUUGUUAGUUGCUUAUCAAUUAGGCUCCCGUCCUUUGCAUUGCUCAUAUACAUUGGGCGAGGGCACACCAGGUUAUUGAGUUUGAUCUGUGUUAGGAUUUCUAAUUGAUGUGACCAUUGGUAUUACUUGUGAUACAUAUAGCACAUAUAUACCACUGUAGUAAUAAGUAUUGUGCUCAGAUAAUCAUUAGGUUACCAUUGUAGGAAAAAAGAGUUCUACGGCUUCAUAAGAAUGUGAUGUAUUAACAGUAGAUAAAAAUGAACCAUGCAACUGGAAAUUCAAGUUCUAGCUAGUCUUUGACGCUAGACAAGGGCAAGAACUCAAAAUUAGCGCAGAUUGAAUCAUCCAAGCAUGGACGAAGGAGGAAGGAAGCCGAGCAAAGGGCCACUACCUGGAGCGGAUGCACACAGGAUCUGCAGAACAGAGAAAUCGAACAAGAUCCAAUCGAUGGGCAGGGGCAGCAUCAACCUGGGGAUUCUAGAGAACUUGGCAGAGGCGGAAGAAUUAUUUGGAACUUUUGGGGAGCGUUUGUAGGAAAUAAACAGAUCGGUAGGCGUCUGAGCUGAGAAAUCCCUCGCGUCACCGGACAUUCCCUUGACCCAGAUUUGCUUGCCGGCCUGGGCGAGCCAGAUGAGCUCGUCCAUGGCACACGCCGCCAUGUCAAUUAUCAAGGGGUGCUCCAUUUCCGUCAUGAGCGCUGGCAUCUAGUACGACAACCCGAACGAGCAGCCACUGAGGAGGUAGAGGCCCAGCGAUGGCCUGCCAAGGGAGCUCUACUCAGGAAUCCUGCCCACGGACAGGUCCAACGACGACAUGGACAUGGUAACGCUCUCCAUAGCUCCCAAACAAUUUCACACCCAUGUCCACAAUGCGAAAUGCAGGGGCCAAAGGAUGGGGUCUCACCUGGAUCUGGAUGAUGAUGGUGACGAUACCCGUACACCGUAAUGGCAGGUACCGCCAGCGCGAGUUCACAGUUCCCGUCGGUUUAGGGUCACAGACGGGAUCCCGCCGGUGUCACCAUUCUCGGGUUCGCUGUCGGCUUCAUC